rnacentral:rRNA from 1 species
UACGGAGGGUGCGAGCGUUAAUCGGAAUAACUGGGCGUAAAGGGCACGCAGGCGGACUUUUAAGUGAGGUGUGAAAUCCCCGGGCUUAACCUGGGAAUUGCAUUUCAGACUGGGAGUCUAGAGUACUUUAGGGAGGGGUAGAAUUCCACGUGUAGCGGUGAAAUGCGUAGAGAUGUGGAGGAAUACCGAAGGCGAAGGCAGCCCCUUGGGAAUGUACUGACGCUCAUGUGCGAAAGCGUGGGGAGCAAACAGG